GUGGGGAAUAUUGGACAAUGGGCGAAAGCCUGAUCCAGCCAUGCCGCGUGUGUGAAGAAGGUCUUCGGAUUGUAAAGCACUUUAAGUUGGGAGGAAGGGCAGUAAGUUAAUACCUUGCUGUUUUGACGUUACCGACAGAAUAAGCACCGGCUAACUUCGUGCCAGCAGCCGCGGUAAUACGAAGGGUGCAAGCGUUAAUCGGAAUUACUGGGCGUAAAGCGCGCGUAGGGGGUUUUGUAAGUUGGAGGUGAAAUCCCCGGGCUCAACAUGGGAACUGCCUCCAAAACUGCAUGACUAGAGUACGGUAGAGGGUAGUGGAAUUUCCUGUGUAGCGGUGAAAUGCGUAGAUAUAGGAAGGAACACCAGUGGCGAAGGCGACUACCUGGACUGAUACUGACACUGAGGUGCGAAAGCGUGGGGAGCAAACAGGAUUAGAUACCCCUGUAGUCC
rnacentral:rRNA from 1 species